ensembl:lncRNA
GGGACUGGGAUGGACUGGGAUGAACUGGGAGGGACUGGGAAAGGACUGGGAUGGAUUGGGAUAGAUUGGGAGGGACUGGGAAAGGACUGUGAGGGACUGGGGAGAGAAUAAGGGGGGCUGGAGGGGACUGGGAGAGACUGGGAUGGACUGGGAGGGACUGGGAGGCACUGGGAAGGGACUGGGAUGGACUGGGAGGGGAUGGAGGGAAUAAGAGGGAGUUGGGGUGGACUGGGAUGAACUGGGAAGAGACUGGGACAAACUGGGAAGGGACUGGGGUGGAUUGGGAGGGACUGGGGAAGACUGGGAUAGACUGGAGUAUACUGGGAAGGGACUGGAAUGGCCUGGCCUAUAUUGAGUUGUACUGAUCUAUACUGGUCUAUACUGAUCUAUACUAGUCUAUACUGGUUUAUACUGGUCUAUACUGGCCUAUACUGGUCCAUACUGGGGUCAGUUCCAUGCCACCACAGGCAGCACUGGGCCUUUCCUGGACCUGCCACUGAUCUGUACUGGGGCUGAGUGCCCCGAACAAAAGCCCCACACCCAUACUGGUCUGUACUGGUUUAUAAUGGCCUGUACUGGUUUAUACUGGUCUGCACUGGUCUAUACUGGGGUCAGUUGCAUGCCACCAUGGGCGGCAAUGGGAGUGUCCUGGACCUGCCACUGGUCCGUACUGGGCCUGAACAAAAGUACUGCAUCCCAUAUGGGUCUACACUGGUCUGUACUGGUCUAUACUGGUCCAUACUGGUCUAUACUGGUCCAUACUGGUGUCGGUUCCAUGCCACCAUGGGUAGCACUGGGCCUUUCCAGGACCUGCCACUGAUCCAUACCGGGGCUGAGCGCUCUGAUCAAAACCCCUUCGCCCCAUCCUGGUCUAUACUGGUCUAUACUGGUCCAUCCUGGUCUAUACUGGUCCAUCCUGGUCUAUACUGGUCCAUCCUGGUCUAUACUGGUCCGUCCUGGUCUAUACUGGUCCGUCCUNGCUAUGGGGCAGACAGGAUCGCUAUGGGGCAGAUGAGGGCGCUAUGGGGCAGACAGGAUCGCUAUGGGGCAGAUGUGGGCGCUAUGUUGCAGACAAGAUUGCUAUGGGGCAGACAGGAUCGCUAUGGGGCAGACAGGAUCACUAUGGGGCAGAUGAGGGCGCUAUGUUGCAGACAGGAUCUCUAUGGGGCAGAUGUGGGCACUAUGGGGCAGACAGGAUCGCUAUGGGGCAGACAGGAUCGCUAUGGGGCAGAUGUGGGCGCUAUGGGGCAGACAGGAGUGCUGUGUGGUGGAUAAGGGUGCUGUGGGGCAGCCACGUGUGCUAUGGGGCAGGUAGUGGGGCGCUAUGGGGCAGGCAGUGGGGUUACCUGUGCACUUGCGCAUGGGGCCGGCGGCGCCGUGGGGCGCGCCGUGGGGCGCGCUGUGGGGCAGGUGGCAGUUGAAGUCCUCCUCCCAGAACUCGUGGAACCAGAGGUUGCGGCGGUUGUUCUCCAGGGAGCGCGACGUGAAGUACUCGUCGAAACCUAUGGGGCGCCCCAUGGCGCUAUAGGGCCUGCCCCAUAGCUGCCCCAUAGUGCUCUGGGGCGGCGCAGAGCGGUAGGAAAGGGAUGCGACCCCGAAGCUCGCCUGAUAUAAUGGGGUGGCUAUGGGGCAGCUAUGGGGCAGCCGUGGGGCCACUGUGGAGUCACUAUGGGGUCUCUAUGGGGCAGAUAUGGGGUCACUAUAGGAUCACUGUAGGGCCGCUAUGGGGCUGCUAUGGGGCAGCCAUGGGGUAGCUAUGGGGCAGCUAUGGGUCACUAAAGGAUCACUAUGGGGCAACUAUACAGCCACUAUGGGGCAGCUAUGGGGUCGCCAUGGGGCAGCUAUGGGUCACUUCGGGGCAGCUAUGGGGUGUCUAUGUGGUCACUAUAGGAUAGCUAUGGUGCAGCUAUGAGUCACUAUGGCGUUGCUAUGGGGCAGCUAUGGGGCUGCUAUGGUAUCAUUAUGGGUCACUAUGGGGCUGCUAUGGGGUCACUAUGGGUCGCUAUGGGGCAGCUAUGGGGCCGCUAUGGGGUCACUAUGGGUCACUAUGGGGCUGCUAUGGGGUCACUAUGGGUCACUAUGGGUCACUAUGGGCCGCUACGGGGCAGCCACGGGGUUGCUAUGGGGCUGCUAUGGGGUCACUAUGGGGUCGCUAUGGGGCCUCUAUGGGGCUGCUAUGAGGCUGCUAUGGGGCCGCUAUGGGGUCACUAUGGGUUGCUAUGGGCCGCUAUGGGUCAGCCAUGGGGUCGCUAUGGGGCAGCUAUGGGGCUGCUAU